UACGUAGGGUGCGAGCGUUAAUCGGAAUUACUGGGCGUAAAGUGUGCGCAGGCGGCCGAGCAAGUCGAGUGUGAAAGCCCCGAGCUUAACUUGGGAAUUGCGCUCGAAACUACUUGGCUGGAGUGUGGCAGAGGAAGGUGGAAUUCCAGGUGUAACGGUGAAAUGCGUAGAGAUCUGGAGGAACACCGAUGGCGAAGGCAGCCUUCUGGGCCAACACUGACGCUCAUGCACGAAAGCGUGGGGAGCAAACAGG
rnacentral:rRNA from 1 species